rnacentral:rRNA from 1 species
GACGAACGCUGGCGGCGUGCUUAACACAUGCAAGUCGAACGGAAAGGCCCUGCUUGCAGGGUACUCGAGUGGCGAACGGGUGAGUAACACGUGGGUGAUCUGCCCUGCACUUCGGGAUAAGCCUGGGAAACUGGGUCUAAUACCGGAUAGGAGCCAUUUUUAGUGUGAUGGUUGGAAAGUUUUUUCGGUGUAGGAUGAGCUCGCGGCCUACCAGCUUGUUGGUGGGGUAAUGGCCUACCAAGGCGGCGACGGGUAGCCGGCCUGAGAGGGUGGACGGCCACAUUGGGACUGAGAUACGGCCCAGACGCCUACGGGAGGCAGCAGUGGGGAAUAUUGCACAAUGGGCGCAAGCCUGAUGCAGCGACGCCGCGUGGGGGAUGACGGCCUUCGGGUUGUAAACUCCUUUCGCUAGGGACGAAGCUUUUUGUGACGGUACCUAGAGAAGAAGCACCGGCUAACUACGUG